GGGAGAACAACAGUGUUUGAGAAGGGUGCCCGUCUCGGGGCCUCAAAUUUGCCUCUUUUGAAUCAGCACUGUUGAGUUUUUCCUGUUCAAUGGAGCAUGGAGGACGGAAGAGCUUUAUAUCCAUGAAUCUACAGGGUGAGUAACCAUCUCCCGUCCCCUACAGGGCCAUCGUACUCAUUUCUUUGGUAAAUAUUAUUUUAGACAUUGCUCAAGCUAUAGGCUGCUGUUUUCUCUGGCUCCGCUACUCUGUUCAUCCACUCCACAAAAUGACUCACAGGUUUGACACAUGUUUUAUUGUUCGCUCUGUGCCAGAAACUUUGGAUGAGAAGGAACCAGCAACAGACACAGCAGACGUAAGCUCUUCCCUCCUGGAGAUGCUUCUCCGUGAGAGGAGACGGCGCAUAAAUAAAACACGUAGGACAGCUGAACCAGGUCACAGGCAGAGGGAGGUCAAAGAGCUUCCCAUGAUACCUCUGUCCCCCGAGUGUAAUACCACGACGGUCCCCAGCCACAGUGUCACUUGGAGUUCUCCCUACACAGAGCCAGAGAACUGGAGUAAUAGUAUUACGCUCUUUGUCUGAAAGCUGAAGACGGUAGCACACACCUGUAAUCUCAACGCUUGAGAGCCUUGGGAAAGAAGAUCAGAGUUACAGACCACCCUGGCUAUGGAGUGAGACUUCCUCUCAAAAAAAUAAAUAAAU
rnacentral:lncRNA from 1 species